AGGCCCCAAACUAGCAAUCAUUCCCCUAUAUAGGCCCAAAAUAAAAAUAAAAGCAAGAACUAGAGACUAAAGCCCAAACAAAAUCUACAAUUGGAGGAGGCGAUGGGGAGGUGGGCGUUUCGGCGUCGCGGGUUGCUCAUCAUCAGAGGUGGCGACGGAACUUGAGGUGGUGGGGCGGGUGUCUUCCGACAAUGAAGUGGCUAACGAUGUGGAUUUUCUGUAGUUGCGAAAAUGCAGUCAAUGAGAUUUCUGUGGGCUUUUGUUGAUGCUGGAAGAAAGUCGACGGCGGGGGUCGAUCGGGGCUGUCCAGUUGAGGCAAGGAUGCUUUUAUGGUGUCUGCGGAUGAAGGUAGGUGGGUUAUUGAAAGGCAACGAUUCUAGAUGAUGGACUUAUGAGGGAUAGGCUAUUGGGCGUUGUUGGGAAGCUUGGGGUCAGAUCAUUACUUGAGAGGUGGUUAUCGUUUGUGAAAACGAGCUUUUGGUGGUUGACUGUGAGGUGGGUUAUUAUGGUUUAAAUGAUUGGGGGCGGUUAUUUUUUUGUUUUGUGAGUGGCUGUUGAAAGCACAUAGUUUGUAGGUUGUUCCGGGGUUGAUCGAAUUACGAGUGGUUGGAAGUUGUAAAAGGGAUGUGGUUAUGAGUUGCAGUAGCAGUCACAGAGAGGGGACCUGCUCCCCGACCAAGGUAGCAACACAGGUGGGUAAUGUCGAUAUUGUGUGCCAGUGGUUGUUGUCGGUGGUGUUUGUAGACAAAGAUGAAGUGUUCAGUAGUCGAGAUUUUCUAGCAUGGAGCAUGUUGUUUGGCUAAGGGCAUAGAUUAAUGUAUUCACGGAAUCUUGAUAUCGACUGUUUCCAAAUGUUUCAUACUGCAAGUUAAACAGUAGAUUGAUAAAGAAAAUCAGGUUUUGCUCUGAUACCAAGAAUUGAUGUAAAAUCACUUGAGAAGAAGAAUUAGGCAGC
rnacentral:lncRNA from 1 species